rnacentral:rRNA from 1 species
GACGAACGCUGGCGGCGUGCUUAACACAUGCAAGUCGAGCGGUAAGGCCCUUUCGGGGGGUACACGAGCGGCGAACGGGUGAGUAACACGUGGGUGACCUGCCUUUAGCUCUGGGAUAAGCCUGGGGAAACUGGGUCUAAUACCGGAUAUGACCCUAUGGCGCAUGUUGUGGGGUGGAAAGCCUUGUGCGGCUAGGGAUCGGGCCCGCGGCCUAUCAGCUUGUUGGUGGGGUGAUGGCCACCAAGGCGACGACGGGUAGCCGGCCUGAGAGGGCGACCGGCCACACUGGGACUGAGACACGGCCCAGACUCCUACGGGAGGCAGCAGUGGGGAAUCUUGCGCAAUGGGCGAAAGCCUGACGCAGCGACGCCGCGUGAGGGAUGAC